CCUACGGGUGGCAGCAGUGAGGAAUAUUGGUCAAUGGACGCAAGUCUGAACCAGCCAUGCCGCGUGCAGGAAGACGGCUCUAUGAGUUGUAAACUGCUUUUGUACGAGGGUAAACGCAGAUACGCGUAUCUGUCUGAGUGUAUCGUACGAAUAAGGAUCGGCUAACUCCGUGCCAGCAGCCGCGGUAAUACGGAGGAUUCGAGCGUUAUCCGGAUUUAUUGGGUUUAAAGGGUGCGUAGGCGGUCGGAUAAGUUAGAGGUGAAAUCCCGGGGCUCAACUGCGGAAUUGCCUUUGAUACUGUUAGGCUAGAGAGGAGUUGAGGUAGGCGGAAUGCAUGGUGUAGCGGUGAAAUGCUUAGAGAUCAUGCAGAACACCGAUUGCGAAGGCAGCUUACCAAGCUACAUCUGACGUUGAGGCACGAAAGCGUGGGGAGCAAACAGGAUUAGAUACCCGUGUAGUC
rnacentral:rRNA from 1 species